rnacentral:rRNA from 1 species
GCAGUCGAACGGUAGUAGAGUGCUUGCACUCUAUGAGAGUGGCGAACGGGUGAGUAACACGUAGGUGAUCUGCCCUUGAGUUGGGGAUAGCCCAUGGAAACAUGGAGUAAUACCGAAUACGUCGGGACUGCUGUGGCAGACCCGGGAAAAGCGCUUCGGCGCUGCUCGAGGAUGAGCCUGCGGCUGAUUAGCUAGUUGGUGGGGUAAGAGCCUACCAAGGCGACGAUCAGUAGCCGGCCUGAGAGGGUGAGCGGCCACACUGGGACUGAGACACGGUCCAGACUCCUACGGGAGGCAGCAGUGGGGAAUUUUCUGCAAUGGGCGAAAGCCUGACAGAGCAAUACCGCGUGAGGGAUGAAAGCCUGCGGGUUGUAAACCUCUUUUCUCAAAGAAGAAGAUCUGACGGUAUUUGAGGAAUAAGCAUCGGCUAACUCCGUGCCAGCAGCCGCGGUAAUACGGGGGAUGCAAGCGUUAUCCGGAAUCACUGGGCGUAAAGCGUCUGCAGGUGGUUUAUUAAGUCCUUUGUUAAAUCCUGAGGCCUAACCUAAGGCUUGCAAAGGAAACUAAUAAUCUUGAGUAUGGUAGAGGUAGAGGGAAUUUCCAGUGGAGCGGUGAAAUGCGUAGAUAUUGGAAAGAACACCGAUGGCGAAAGCACUCUACUGGGCCAUUACUGACACUCAGAGACGAAAGCUA